GGAGGGGUGGCCGAGUGGCUGAAGGCGGCGGUUUGCUAAACCGUUAUAGCAUGUUAAGUGCUAUCGUGGGUUCGAAUCCCAUCCCCUCCGCCA
rnacentral:tRNA from 1 species